ACGAACGCUGGCGGCGUGCCUAAUCCAUGCAAGUCGAGCGGACUUUCAAGAAGCUUGCUUUUUGAAAGUUAGCGGCGGACGGGUGAGUAACACGUGGGCAACCUGCCUGCAAGACGGGGAUAACUCCGGGAAACCGGGGCUAAUACCGGAUAAUAUCUUCCUUCGCAUGAAGGAAGGUUGAAAGGCGGCGCAAGCUGCCGCUUGCAGAUGGGCCCGCGGCGCAUUAGCUAGUUGGUGAGGUAACGGCUCACCAAGGCGACGAUGCGUAGCCGACCUGAGAGGGUGAUCGGCCACACUGGGACUGAGACACGGCCCAGACUCCUACGGGAGGCAGCAGUAGGGAAUCUUCCGCAAUGGACGAAAGUCUGACGGAGCAACGCCGCGUGAGCGAAGAAGGUCUUCGGAUCGUAAAGCUCUGUUGUCAGGGAAGAACAAGUACCGUUCGAACAGGGCGGUACCUUGACGGUACCUGACCAGAAAGCCACGGCUAACUACGUG
rnacentral:rRNA from 1 species